rnacentral:rRNA from 1 species
UAGGGAAUCUUCCGCAAUGGACGAAAGUCUGACGGAGCAACGCCGCGUGAGCGAAGAAGGUCUUCGGAUCGUAAAGCUCUGUUGUCAGGGAAGAACAAGUACCGUUCGAACAGGGCGGUACCUUGACGGUACCUGACGAGGAAGCCACGGCUAACUACGUGCCAGCAGCCGCGGUAAUACGUAGGUGGCAAGCGUUGUCCGGAAUUAUUGGGCGUAAAGCGCGCGCAGGCGGCUCCUUAAGUCUGAUGUGAAAUCUCGCGGCUCAACCGCGAGCGGCCAUUGGAAACUGGGGAACUUGAGUGCAGGAGAGGGGAGCGGAAUUCCACGUGUAGCGGUGAAAUGCGUAGAGAUGUGGAGGAACACCAGUGGCGAAGGCGGCUCUCUGGCCUGUAACUGACGCUGAGGCGCGAAAGCGUGGGGAGCGAACAGGAUUAGAUACCCUGGUAGUCCACGCCGUAAACGAUGAGUGCUAAGUGUUAGAGGGUAUCCACCCUUUAGUGCUGCAGCAAACGCAUUAAGCACUCCGCCUGGGGAGUACGGCCGCAAGGCUG